rnacentral:rRNA from 1 species
GUCCACACCGUAAACGAUGAGUACUAGAUGUUGGUGGUAUCGACUCCAUCAGUAUCGAAGCUAACGCAUUAAGUACUCCACCUGAGUAGUACGGCCGCAAGGUUGAAACUCAAAGAAAUUGACGGGGGACCCGCACAAGCAGAGGAUCAUGCGGUUUAAUUCGACGCAACGCGAAAAACCUUACCAAGACUUGACAUCCAAUGAAUACCAUAGAAAUAUGUUAGUAACUUCGGUUACAUUGAGACAGGUGGUGCAUGGUUGUCGU